CUGGCCAGCUGCUUCCGUGCUAGCAGAGGCGGACUCCACUCACUUGGUCCUGCUGAGUUCCACCCCUUGCAGGAGGGGGAGAACAGGUGAGCAGGUGCAGGAGCUAGGGCAAGUGCCUUUGGACACUGGCAGGAGCAAAACUCUAUGAGGCCCUGUGGCAGCAUCAAGGGGGUUGCCAGUGACCCCUGAAACUCCAGAAAGAGUGUUAUAGUCGGUUGUCUUUUAGCUUUGCCAUCCAUGGAUGGCUUAUUUGUUAACAGGUCAGCGGAGGGUUAGUGUGACAGUUUUUUGCACCGGUACCUGAGUUCUUGUCCAGCAUCCAGGAGGAAUAAGGUCCCAUAAACAAAUUGGAGAUGGUAAAUGUGGGUGAUUUUAUUGCCUAUGAAAGUGGCUCUCAGUGGGAAGGGGAGCUGAAAAGGAGAUGGAAAAGGUAGAUAAUCUCCUGGAGUCCAGCCAUCCCUAGCCAGACUCCUUUCCAAAGCUACACCAUCAAGCUCUCCCUUUGAAGUCAAGGUGCUUCUCUCCAAUGUCAAACCAUAGUCUCCAAUGUCCAGCUGUUUUUCCUCUUCUCCUCCUCUCCUCUGCUGAAAGAACAAUCUGAAAUCCAACACCUGAGAAGCCAUAGUAUGAAACGCGUGGUAAAGCUAUCUGGGGAAAAAAUGACAAACUGACAAUUUGUAACUUUAAAAAGAACUAUGUAGCCAGGUGCAGUGGCUCACGUCUGUAAUCCCAGCACUUUGGGAGGCCAAGGCAGGCGGAUUGCUUGAGCCCAGGAGUUUGAGACCAGCCUGGGCAACAUGGCGAAACUCCUUCUCUACCAAAAAUACACACAAGAAAUCAGCCGGGCAUGGUGCACGUGCCUGUAGUCCCAGCUACUUGGGAGACUGAGGCUGGAAGAUCAUUUGAGCCUGGGAGUCAGAGGUUGCAGUAAGCUGAGAUUGCUCCACCACGCUGCAGAUUGAGUGGCAGAAUGAGACACUGUCUCAAAACAUACAUACAUACAUACAUACAUACAUACAUAGAACAUAUGUUGUGUAGAAAUGUUAAAUAUUUUAUCAUAAAUUUUAUGUCUCAAGUAUAGUUUUUAAUAAUGGUUCCAAAGUCAAUAUAUUAUGCAAAUAAUGAUGCAAUAUUGAAACAAAAUGAAAGUAAUUGCAUACUCAAAAUUUGGUUAAAUUGUUUACUUUCAAAAUCUAAAUGUCAGUGAAUAGGUAUUGCAUUUCAAAUCCAAAUACCACACAAAAGAGUAAGUAUACUCAUUAUUUACAAUUACUUUACCUGUAUAUUUAUUUGCUAAUGUAAUUAAAUUAAUAAAGUCCAAAUGUAACCUG
rnacentral:lncRNA from 1 species